UGGGAAAUAUUGCACAAUGGGCGCAAGCCUGAUGCAGCCAUGCCGCGUGUAUGAAGAAGGCCUUCGGGUUGUAAAGUACUUUCAGUCGGGAGGAAGGUGGUAAGGUUAAUAACCUUAUCAAUUGACGUUACCGACAGAAGAAGCACCGGCUAACUCCGUGCCAGCAGCCGCGGUAAUACGGAGGGUGCAAGCGUUAAUCGGAAUUACUGGGCGUAAAGCGCACGCAGGCGGUUGAUUGAGUCAGAUGUGAAAUCCCCGGGCUUAACCCGGGAAUUGCAUCUGAUACUGGUCAGCUAGAGUCUUGUAGAGGGGGGUAGAAUUCCAUGUGUAGCGGUGAAAUGCGUAGAGAUCUGGAGGAAUACCGGUGGCGAAGGCGGCCCCCUGGACAAAGACUGACGCUCAGGUGCGAAAGCGUGGGGAGCAAACAGG
rnacentral:rRNA from 1 species